rnacentral:rRNA from 1 species
AGAGUUUGAUCCUGGCUCAGAAUCAACGCUGGCGGCGUGCCUAACACAUGCAAGUCGAACGAGAAAGUGGAGCAAUCCAUGAGUAAAGUGGCGACCGGGUGAGUAACACGUGACUAACCUACCCUGAAGUGGGGAAUAACCUCGGGAAACCGGGGCUAAUACCGCAUAACAUCGCGAGCUGUAAACGCUUGUGAUCAAAGGAGCAAUUCGCUUUAGGAGGGGGUCGCGGCUGAUUAGUUAGUUGGUGAGGUAACGGCUCACCAAGACAAAGAUCAGUAUCCGGCCUGAGAGGGCGCACGGACACACUGGAACUGAAACACGGUCCAGACUCCUACGGGAGGCAGCAGUGGGGAAUUUUGCGCAAUGGGGGAAACCCUGACGCAGCAACGCCGCGUGGAGGAUGAAGUCCCUUGGGAUGUAAACUCCUUUCGAUCGGGACGAUUAUGACGGUACCGGAAGAAGAAGCACCGGCUAACUCUGUGCCAGCAGCCGCGGUAAUACAGAGGGUGCAAGCGUUGUUCGGAAUUAUUGGGCGUAAAGGGCGCGUANGCGGUGCUGUAAGUCUGUGGUGAAAUCUCUGGGCUCAACUCAGAGUCUGCCAUANAAACUGCANUGCUGGAGUGUGG